AAGAGGUUUAAGAAGCUUCAUGUAUUCUGCUGCUAAACUACUUACUUUACAAAAAAUAAAUAAUCAGCUGAAGAUGCAAAAAUAUAAUGCUAAUGAUAGUUUCAGAGUAAACCUGCUGCAAGCUUGAACAGAAAACAAAAGCCCCAGAAAUUUCCUUCCUAUAUUGCCCCACCCAAGCUUCUUUUUUAAAGACCAAACAAAAGAUCUAAAACAGUUCUGUGACUUUUCUGCAGCUUUAAGAUCCCUGCAGCAGCAACCUCAUUCAAAGUGAAGAAGGAUAUGGAAGAAAGAGAGGCAUCUUGAAGCUCAGGUUAAGUGAAGAAAAAACUGCCUGUAGGGCAUGCAGGAAGGAACUGCAGAUGGGCCCCUGGGGCAGCACCCAGGGAAGUGGUGGUGAAUAUUUAAGUAAGAAGGAGAAGAAAUGGAAUUUGUUCCAAACUGUUUAAAGGUCUGUAUCUACAGAACUAGAGAGGGGAGUGAAGGGCUCUUGGGAGGAUUUCCUCUAGAAAAAAUAGGUUUGAGCUUUGUCUAAAGAGGAAAAUUAGAAGGUUCUCUAGCAAAUGCAAGGGAAGGAAUUUAAAAACCCUUGGAAGGAUCUGCAGCUAUCAAAUUGGAUGAAGUUUUCUCAUACAUGGAGGCUGUCUGCCUCAGCUGGAUUGCCACAGGAGGCUGGGGAAAAGGUACUUUUCAGUAAGUCUGGAGAUGACUGGGUGGUGGCAUUGCAAGUUUGGAGAAUGAGGAGUUCCCUUCUAAAAGCUAAAGAGACUUUUGUGAAACAAUUGGGAGGAUGAGAAGGGAUUCCUCGCAAAGUCGGGAGUCUGGAGACUCCAGAGGCCUGAACUAAUUUCUGAGGAGUUGGGUUUCUCGGGUGUGGCCCCAGGAGGAGACAGCAAGGCACUUUGUGUAACAAUGCCGCAUUUCGCUUAUAGGACGUGGGGAAUCCGCCCUAUGACUGAGAAUAAAGGCCCCCGUCGUCACUAACGGGAAGCCUGGAACCCUGUCUAAAAGGGUGUGCCUGCAGCAAUUUGGGAGGAAAUGCCACACGCACCCCAGGCCCGGGACAAGGGACAGUAAUACUUUCUCACUAAGCGAAUAGGAGAAGCAGAGAAGCGUUUGAAAAGAACACCACCGCUCCCAACUCACUGAAAGUUGGAGGAAAGUGAGGAACUCUGGAGAGUUCGGAAAUGAUUUGAAAGCAACCCAACUGGAAGCUGGGAUAAAACAAGAAAAACUGAGGGUACAGUUUACAAAGCCAGCGUGAAGAAACUGAGGAUUCGAGAUCUGCCCAACCCAAAGCAGAACUGAGAUUGAAACCUGGGGACUCUCAAGUAAAACCCCAGUUGCCUUUCUGAGAAGAGGGACUUGAAUCAUCAUGAUCUUCUUCUUGGUCUCCCAUUUUCUGAUUCUUUGUUACUUCAAUUCACUUUUUUUUUUCCUCAGAGUUUUCUAACUCACCAGUAUAUCAUAUCUCAGUGCAUACUGCUUAAAUUGAGGAGAUAACAAUACAUCCACUUGGGAAGGGUUUUGCCACAGUGUAUCAAAGAUUUAAAAAAAAAAAAAAACUAGAGAAUGUCUAAUCCAAUCAUGUUAAAAAUAAUUUUCAUUGCAAAUUAAGUUAUACAUACAGACUUGUAUUAAAAAUGUUAAUGAAAGCAGCAAUACCUGUGCGACUAGCACCCAUUAAGAAAUAUAACAUUAACUGUGCUUAACAAUGCUCUGAAAGGAAGCUCUUCCUCUAAUUUGGUUAAAAUAAUUCAACCCUUUAAAAAUGCCCUAACAGUGUAUUGUCUUCCUUGCCCUGGAAAUAACCACUACAUUGACUUUUGUUACAAUAUUUCCCGUGCUUUCAAGUAUGAACUUCCAAAUAAGAUACAUUCAAUGUGUUCUGUUAUUGACCUUAUUUAAAUGGAAUUAAUACUGUGUCUCUUCUAUUCAUCCAAUGUUGAUGCUGUGUGGCUGAAGUUUGUUCCAUUUUGGGGUAAUACUCUGAUUUAGAAAUAUGUAAUAAUUUAUCUUUUCUGCUUUUGAUGGUCAUUUGUACUGUUUCCACUUUUAGCAAUUAACAAUGUCAUUAUGAACAUUCCAGUACAUGUCUGUUGCACUGUGUGCUGGAGUAGGAGUAGAUUGACUGGAUAUUAGGUUCUGCACAUGUGGGACUUUAUAGGUAAUGCUACAUCAUUUUCCAUGCUAGUAUCAAUUUAUGUUUCUGCCAGAAAUAUAUGAGUUCUUACUUUUCUAUUCCCCUGCCAAUGUUUAUGUUGUUUGGGUUUUUAAUUUUUGUAUGUUUGAAUAUGUGUAAUAUAGGUUUCUCAUUGUGAUUUUAUUUGGUAUCUCUGAUUACUAUUGAGGUUGAGCACCUUUGCUUGGUUUCAUUAGCAUUUUCAUUUUCUCUUUAUGAACUGCUUAGUAGUUUUCUAAACCAUUUUUUCAAUAAAUUCUAUUUUUUUAAUUUUUUAUUAUUUAUUUUUUAGUUUUCGGCGGACACAACAUCUUUUGUUUGUAUGUGGUGCUGAGGAUCGAACCCGGGCCGCACGCAUGCCAGGCGAGCUUGCUACCGCUUGAGCCACAUCCCCAUCCCUAAUAAAUUCUAUUUUUUUGACAGCAGUUCUUUAUGUUUAGAUAAUAAUUCUUCAUCUUAUAUGUUGCAAAUAUCCUUCCUUUUUUGUGCUUGAUCUUUUCAUUUUACCUAUAAUAUGUGAAGAACAGAAGAGAAAUUGUUAAGUCAUUGAAUAUGAGUGUUCUCAGUUUGACCAAAUAAUGCUAAAUUUCUGUCCAUAGUACUAUAGCAGUGUACCCUACUCCCAUCAAUGUUUUGAGGGCUAGUAUGGCCCCAUGUUCUUCCCAACCUCAGCAUGAUUAAACUUUUUUGUUUCCCCAGAUAUGAA